GUAGUCCACGCAGUAAACGAUGAUUACUAGGAGUUUGCGAUACAAUGUAAGCUCUACAGCGAAAGCGUUAAGUAAUCCACCUGGGGAGUACGCCGGCAACGGUGAAACUCAAAGGAAUUGACGGGGGCCCGCACAAGCGGAGGAACAUGUGGUUUAAUUCGAUGAUACGCGAGGAACCUUACCCGGGUUUGAACGUAGUCUGACCGGAGUGGAAACACUCUUUCUAGCAAUAGCAGAUUACGAGGUGCUGCAUGGUUGUCGUCAGCUCGUGCCGUGAGGUGUCGGCUUAAGUGCCAUAACGAGCGCAACCCUUAUCACUAGUUACUAACAGGUGAAGCUGAGGACUCUGG
rnacentral:rRNA from 1 species